rnacentral:pre_miRNA from 1 species
CAACUACUCCCUCUGUCCCAAAUUUCUUUUCUUAGAUUUGUCUAGAUACGGAUGUAUCUAAUACUAAAAUGUGACUUGAUACAUCCGUAUCUAGACAAAUCUAAGAAAAGAAUUUUGGGAUGGAGGGAGUACUUU